GCCGCCGUAGCGUAGCUUGGUAGCGUACAGGCCUGAAGAGCCUGCGGGGCGAGUUCAAAUCUCGCCGGCGGCC
rnacentral:tRNA from 1 species